rnacentral:lncRNA from 1 species
UUUUUGAACAUCAGGCCAUCCUUUCAGGUAUCUAAAUGUCAAUUCAAGUGUCUAUCUUUAGGCAUUUUUGAAAAUUUUCGCUGAAGGAUCUUAACCAAAGAAAAAAGUACUGUAAAGGUGCAGUAUGUGACUCCCGAUCCACCUUCUAGAGAUGGCAGUCUGGUUUUGUAGAUUGAAUUCAACACAGAGAUGCAAAGUGGGUUCUUUC